rnacentral:rRNA from 1 species
GACGAACGCUGGCGGCGUGCCUAAUACAUGCAAGUCGAACGCUUCUUUCCUCCCGAGUGCUUGCACUCCAUUGGAAAGAGGAGUGGCGGACGGGUGAGUAACACGUGGGUAACCUACCCAUCAGAGGGGGAUAACACUUGGAAACAGGUGCUAAUACCGCAUAACAGUUUAUGCCGCAUGGCAUAAGAGUGAAAGGCGCUUUCGGGUGUCGUUGAUGGAUGGACCCGCGGUGCAUUAGCUAGUUGGUGAGGUAACGGCUCACCAAGGCCACGAUGCAUAGCCGACCUGAGAGGGUGAUCGGCCACACUGGGACUGAGACACGGCCCAGACUCCUACGGGAGGCAGCAGUAGGGAAUCUUCGGCAAUGGACGAAAGUCUGACCGAGCAACGCCGCGUGAGUGAAGAAGGUUUUCGGAUCGUAAAACUCUGUUGUUAGAGAAGAACAAGGACGUUAGUAACUGAACGUCCCCUGACGGUAUCUAACCAGAAAGCCACGGCUAACUACGU